UACGUAGGGUGCAAGCGUUGUCCGGAAUUAUUGGGCGUAAAGAGUUCGUAGGCGGCCUGUCGCGUCCGUUGUGAAAGCCUGGGGCUCAACCCCAGGUCUGCAGUGGAUACGGGCAGGCUAGAGUACUGGAGAGGAGACUGGAAUUUACGGUGUAGCAGUGAAAUGCGUAGAUAUCGUAAGGAAGACCAGUGGCGAAGGCGAGUCUCUGGACAGUUACUGACGCUGAGGCACGAAGGCCAGGGGAGCAAACAGG
rnacentral:rRNA from 1 species